UGAUAAUUCUUCUUAGUUCUUUGGUAGUGUUGGGCGACUGUAUCUUGAACCGGAGAUUCCUUCUUUGACCUAGAAGAGUCUUUCUGCGCUGAUCCGUCUCUGAGUUGCUCACAGGAUGUUCUGCACUCGAUCUUUACUGCAAUCUAUGCAUUGUUAUUGUCGUCCAACAGUGGGUUUAAUAUGUUUUCUGAAUAAGGCUCUGAAGCUUGUCCAUCAAAAAAGUAUUGGUGUCACUCUCUUGCACAUUGUCCUCGAAAAUUAAUGGUGGAUUCAGCUGGACCAGCCAGGAAGUUUGUUUAUUUUCUGUAGGGGUUUUCUACGAGUUAUCAACUGAAGGCAUAUGACGUACAUUCAUCUAUGUGUUCUUCAUUCUUUUCUUAAAUAAGUCAAAAGAGCCGCAAUCCGUUGAAAUCUGUGCCUUGUGCUACAAGAAGAAUGGAUAAGUGAGUGGGCUUGUAUGGAACUUGCUUGUUAAUAUUUGUAUUUUAAUGUGUUGAUAUGUCUGAGAGUUUUGGCCUCUACAGGUAUACGAUAAUCAAGGAAGUUGGUGAUGGGACUUUUGGAAGUGUUUGGCGAGCAAUAAAUAAGCAGACUGGUGAAGUUGUAAGCAGCAUGUUCAUAGUUUUUAUUGCUUUGAAACUGAAGGAAAUUGAUUCUAUAUAAGUCAGGGUUUGUUCUUUUGUUUCAACAGGUUGCUAUAAAAAAGAUGAAGAGGAAAUAUUAUUCCUGGGAAGAAUGUUUAAAUCUGAGAGAAGUCAAGGUAAAACAGUUUAUACUUCUGCUCUUAUUAUUGCUAUUUUAUUUCUGUAUAUGGUUUUAAAUUUUUUCUUUUUGCAGUCAUUGAGAAAGAUGAACCACCCAAACAUUGUGAAGCUCAGGGAAGUCUUUAGGGAAAAUGAUAUUUUGUACUUUGUGUUUGAAUACAUGGUAUGUGAUAUCCCUAUCAACUAGUAAAUUGUUUUCAUCAGUGCUUAUUAUUAAAUAUGAUAAAUGCCAUUUGUCUGUUUCAGGAAUGCAACCUUUACCAACUAAUGAAAGAUCGGUUGAAGCUUUUUUCGGAAACUGAAGUUCGAAAUUGGUGCUUUCAAGUGUUCCAAGGUCUUGCUUACAUGCACAGGCGUGGAUAUUUUCAUCGCGACCUCAAGCCAGGUGACUGCUACUUUUGUGAUUUUUGACCAAAAUCAUAGAAAUGCAUUUUUUGAGCAAGCACUACAAUUCCAAUUUAGUUGAUGAUUCAUUUAGGGAUGGAUGAUAUUUAUAAGAUAUCCAUUGAAGAUCCUCUGAUGCAUUGCCAUUAAUUUUUUUUGAUAGGCUUUAUAGUAGAGGCUCAUUUUGCCAUAAAAAUUUCAAUUCCCAUGGGUAGCCAUAUUUUGCCAUCAUCUAUUCCUGAGAAAGGGGAUGCAUCUUAGAUGAUAUUUAAAAAAGAUGCCUUUUUCUUUUAAAAUAAUUAUUAAUAUUUUUUUCCCGCUUGCUUAUUGGUGCUAUUUCUAUACUUUGUGUGUGCUUUGUUGCCCCUUUUCUGAGCGCUUUUAAAAUAAUUGCCUUUUUACCUAUCAAUAAAAAAAGGAGUCUUUUUUUCUGGGGUGGGUGGGGGGAUAAACAAUUUUUAUGUGAUAUUCUUGAGAAGAAUGAACUUUUAGGAAAUUUAGGUCUUUAUGUAUUUGAGAUAUUUCUGUUUAUUUUCCAAAAAAACAAUCUAGCAACGCUAUUUGCUUAGGUUCUGUAACUCAUAAAACAUUUGAGUAGCAUUUGGUUUUCUUCCAAUUCUUUGAUUGCCUGAACACUUGACAAUGAAAGUGAAGGGCCUCACCCAGUAUGAUGAAAGUUUUAAAGAUGACUCCAUCAUUAUUCUGCUCCUUUCUCCUUGCUCUCUGUCUUAUUAUUUUUAUUUUAAAUUUAAGUUAAAUUAUCCUAUGUUGGGUGAUGGGAUUUUCAUUUCUGAUUUUGUAUAUUGAGUCAUCUUCUAGUCUUCUCUCUCUCUCUCUCUCUCUCUCUGUAUAUAUUUGUUUUGUUGUUAUGAUUCAAAUUGUUUGGGGUUGGGUGGGUGAGUGUUAGGGGUUGUAUGCCCUGAUUUUAAUCUUGCAUUAACUUGAGCUUUAUAUAAUAGGUAUAAUUCAUAAAGUGAUAUGAAAUCUUCUUCUUCUUCGCUUCACUUGAUCAAAAAAAUGUAGAGUCGGUUAUUUAAUAAAGCGGACAGGAAAAAAUUUAUGUUUGCCUUUGCUCUUUUAAUUUUAAUGUUUACUUUGUUUUGUAUUUAUAUGUGGGUUAUAGUUUCUCAAAUAUGCAUCUUCCAUUCUGAUUAAAAAAAUGCAUCUUCCAUAAAAAUUCCUUCCUUGUAUGUUUCUUUUCAGAGAACUUGUUGGUUACAAAAGAUGUAAUAAAAAUUGCUGAUUUUGGUCUUGCUCGGGAGAUCAAUUCUCAACCACCAUACACGGAAUAUGUCUCUACACGCUGGUACGUGUUUUUGGGUUACUUGUUUGUCCCCUUUAUUAAUGUGUUGCGUCCUUCAAAUUUCAAUCUCCCUGAUAUUAUUUGGUUGUAUUUUGUUAUCACUAAAAUAUGGACAUGGCAGGUAUCGAGCUCCAGAGGUGCUGCUUCAAUCAUCCACAUAUGGUUCUGCAGUUGGUCAGUAUAUAGUUGGAAAGAGACUGAAAUUUUAUGAAGUUUGAAAAAAUAUCCAUAUUUUUGUCUGUAGACACUGAAAUUUUAUUUCCAUUUUUUCCCUCCAGAUAUGUGGGCAAUGGGUGCUAUCAUGGCUGAAUUGUUUACUCUCCGUCCUCUCUUUCCAGGAUCGAGGUAAAUGUUUUUUUCCCCUUUCCUUCUAGGUAUUGGUUUUUCCCUUUUGCUUUUACUAGUUAUGGUGUAUGUUGCACGUGGUUAAUUUUACAUAAUUGAAAAUAAAAUUAAUAUUUCAAGAGGUUGGUUUUUAAUUUCAAAAAUCAUAAUGCAAGUGAAUUUAAUAUGUAAUUCAGGAAAUCAAUGUAUAGGACUCGGUAGAAUAUGGUAUUAGUUCUUAAAACAUAUAUCUAUUAAUUAUGGUUCUUAAACAUGUAUCUACUAGAUAUAUUCACAUUUCUUGUGUACCCAAUAGGAGUUAGUUAUUAAUGUGACAUCUUAUUUUGUGCUAAUUUUGAUAAAACUAUUGAUUAAUUUGGAUAGUAGAAAGUGGUGGUUUUAUAUCAAAGGAAAAAAAAAAUAAAAAUUUGUAUUUCUUACCUAACAACCACCAGGGAUUUCUGAUAGUUUUUUUACAAUAAGAAAAAUUUAAAUUUAUUAUUUUUUCCAGCUUUUAACUAAUUUGUCUCUUUUCUAGUUUACCAAUGUAAGGUGACAAUUGAAAUUAGUUAUUGAGUUUGCUUAAAUAUGGGAGCCCCUCUAAGUGUGUGCAGGCAAAAAUUUUCUUUUCUUUUAUGUUGCAAUUCCUAAGAUUUCAUCUGCUCAUUCUCUUUUCUUGGCCGUUAUAAUGUAUUUCCUCCAUAAUGGCAUCUUGAGCAAUUAUGCCUAACAUGUAGUCAUAUAAUUAUUUAUAAGGGUUUUCUUUUAGGGAUUGGCUAAAUCAAUAAAUAUAUUUUUUUAUAGGAUCUAAAUCAAUUAAUAUUGUGAUUAAAUAGUGGAGGUGCAUUCUCAAUUUGAUAAUCUGGCAUUGCAGUAGCAAUUUAGCCCUUCCAAUAUUGAGAUGACAGGAUACCUUGAGGAGGUUUAACUUGAUUGAAAAGCAUGGCAGACAGAGGCGAGAGUAUACCGAGGGUGAUAGUACGGCAAGGAUUACAAGGAACUAUCUGGACUGUCUUUCAAGUCAUUAACCUGUUCAGACAUGUCCCAUUGGAUUAGCGGUAGAUCCUACCACUAAACCGAGACCUUGAAGCCACCUCACCUUAUGAGCAAGGGCAAUGAUUUACAACAAUUUGACCGUGGAAAAUUUGACAUAGGGUCUUAGUAAUUUCUAAAAAUUUUCAUAGAUAUAGAUAUGCAGGUUGGUUGGUAACAAUUCAAAUUAACUUGCUUAAGAAAUGCAGAAGCUGGUCCUCAGUUACAUAUUUUUGUGAGUUUGCCUCAACAGACACUGUUUCUCCUGCACUUUCUUCUUGAUGUAAAACUAAACAAAAAAAAUAGCUUGAAAAAUGGUGGACUAUGUAUCAUAUCUAGACAAUUUAUUAAUCCUUAUACACAAAUUUAAUAUUAGUAUGUUGAAAAUUUGCUUUGAUAGGCAUAUCAUAUAGAAAGAGUGUUUUAGGCAGAUAUAUAUUAUGAACCUUCUCUUGGCACUUUUUGGCGACUGUUGUAUACAUGAUGUGUACCUUGUUGCACCCUUUUUUGGCGCUUUUCAAUACAAUUGCUUCUUAUCUAUCAAAAAAAACAAAAAAAAA
rnacentral:lncRNA from 1 species